rnacentral:tRNA from 1 species
AGCCCCGAGCGCAUACUUGAUUGCAAAUCAAGAGCAGCAGAGUAAUGUCUGCCGGGGCUU